UUGGAGGGCAAGUCUGGUGCCAGCAGCCGCGGUAAUUCCAGCUCCAAUAGCGUAUAUUAAAGUUGUUGCAGUUAAAAAGCUCGUAGUUGAAUUUCGGGAUCAAUUAAUUGGUCGUGCCUCUGGUACGUACUGAUUUUAUUGGUUUCUCCCUUCUGACGAACCAUGAUGUCAUUAAUUUGGUGUCGUGGAGAAUCAGGACUGUUACUUUGAAAAAAUUAGAGUGUUUAAAGCAAGCUAACGCUUGAAUACAUUAGCAUGGAAUAAUGAAAUAGGACGUUUGACCCUAUUUUGUUGGUUUCUAGGAUCGACGUAAUGAUUAAUAGGGAUAGUUGGGGGCAUUAGUAUUCAAUUGUCAGAGGUGAAAUUCUUGGAUUUAUUGAAGACUAACUACUGCGAAAGCAUUUGCCAAGGAUGUUUUCAUUAAUCAAGAACGAAAGUUAGGGGAUCGAAGACGAUCAGAUACCGUCGUAGUCUUAACCAUAAACUAUGCCGACUAGGGAUCGGAUGAUGUUAAUUUUUUAAUGACUCAUUCGGCGCCUUACGGAAACCAAAGUGUUUGGGUUC
rnacentral:rRNA from 1 species